UGAGGAAUAUUGGUCAAUGGGGGCAACCCUGAACCAGCCAAGUCGCGUGAAGGAUGAAGGUCUUAUGGAUUGUAAACUUCUUUUAUACGGGAAUAAAGUGGGGGACGUGUCCCCCUUUGCAUGUACCGUAUGAAUAAGGAUCGGCUAACUCCGUGCCAGCAGCCGCGGUAAUACGGAGGAUCCGAGCGUUAUCCGGAUUUAUUGGGUUUAAAGGGUGCGCAGGCGGGAUGUUAAGUCGGCGGUGAAAUUUUGCAGCUCAACUGUAAAAGUGCCUUCGAUACUGGCCUCCUUGAGUGUGGAUGAAGUAGGCGGAAUUUGGGGUGUAGCGGUGAAAUGCUUAGAUAUCACGAGGAACUCCGAUUGCGCAGGCAGCUUACUAAACCACAACUGACGCUCAUGCACGAAGGCGUGGGGAUCAAACA
rnacentral:rRNA from 1 species